CCUACGGGGGGCAGCAGUGGGGAAUAUUGCACAAUGGGGGAAACCCUGAUGCAGCGACGCCGCGUGAGUGAAGAAGUAUCUCGGUAUGUAAAGCUCUAUCAGCAGGGAAGAAAAUGACGGUACCUGACUAAGAAGCCCCGGCUAACUACGUGCCAGCAGCCGCGGUAAUACGUAGGGGGCAAGCGUUAUCCGGAAUUACUGGGUGUAAAGGGUGCGUAGGUGGUAUGGCAAGUCAGAAGUGAAAACCCAGGGCUUAACUCUGGGACUGCUUUUGAAACUGUCAGACUGGAGUGCAGGAGAGGUAAGCGGAAUUCCUAGUGUAGCGGUGAAAUGCGUAGAUAUUAGGAGGAACACCAGUGGCGAAGGCGGCUUACUGGACUGAAACUGACACUGAGGCACGAAAGCGUGGGGAGCAAACAGGAUUAGAUACCCCUGUAGUC
rnacentral:rRNA from 1 species